rnacentral:lncRNA from 1 species
CCCCCUUGCAGCCUCGCAGCCCCCCCUUGUCUCUCCUGACAGGUGUGAAGACAUGUCCAGGAGAAAUGUCAGGAAUGAGGCUAUCCUGGCACAUUAUAAUAAUCAUAUUGACAGCAUAUCUAAUGUUUUCAUUAGGCUAAUUAUCCCACAAGGUCACAUCUCUCUCUCAAAACAGAGUGUGGAGAGAGGGAAAGAGAGAGAGGGAGAGAGAGGGAAAGAGAGAGAGGGAGGGAAAGAGAGAGAGACGGGGAAAGAGAGAGAGAGAAAGAGAGAGAGAGAGGGAAAGAGAGAGAGGGAGAGAGAGAGAGAGAGAGAGAGAGAGAGAGAGAGAGAGAGAGAGAGAGAGAGAGAGAGAGAGAGAGAGAGAGAGAGAGAGAGAUGGAGACUCAUAUAAUAUAUAUAUAUACUAUUUAUGUAUAACUAUUUGCACAUUGUUACAACACUGUAUAUAGACAAUAUGACAUUUGAAAUGUCUUUAUUAUUUUGGAACAUGUGACUGGAAUGUUUACUGUUCAUUUUUAUUGUUUAUUUCACUUUUGUUUAUUAUACAUUUCACUUGCUUUGGCAAUGUUAACAUAUGUAUGGCAGUAGAGAUAUGGUCUCUCUCUGUUCUCUACAUAGUACCCUGUUCUCUCCAUAAUACCCUGUUCUCUCCAUAAUACCCUGUUCUCUCCAUAAUACCCUGUUAUCUCCAUAAUACCCUGUUCUCUUCAUAAUACCCUGUUCUCUCCAUAAUACCCUGUUCUCUCCAUAAUACCCUGUUCUCUACAUAAUACCCUGUUCUCUCCAUAAUACCCUGUUCUCUCCAUAAUACCCUGUUCUCUCCAUAAUACCCUGUUCUCUCCAUAACACCCUGUUCUCUCCAUAAUACCCUGUUCUCUCUCUGUUCUCUCCAUAAUACCCUGUUCUCUCCAUAAUACCCUGUUCUCUCUCUGUUCUCUCCAUAAUACCCUGUUCUCUCCAUAAUACCCUGUUCUCUCCAUAAUACCCUGUUCUCUCCAUAAUACCCUGUUCUUUCCAUAAUACCCUGUUCUCUCCAUAAUACCCUGUUCUCUCCAUAAUACCCUGUUCUCUCCAUAAUACCCUGUUCUCUCCAUAAUACCCUGUUCUCUCCAUAAUACCCUGUUCUCUCCAUAAUACCCUGUUCUCUCCAUAAUACCCUGUUCUCUCUCUGUUCUAUUCAUAAUACCCUGUUCUCUCCAUAAUACCCUGUUCUCUCCAUAAUACCCUGUUCUCUCCAUAAUACCCUGUUCUCUCCAUAAUACCCUGUUCUCUCUCUGUUCUCUCCAUAAUACCCUGUUCUUUCCAUAAUACCCUGUUAUCUCCAUAAUACCCUGUUCUCUCCAUAAUACCCUGUUCUCUCUCUGUUCUCUCCAUAAUACCCUGUUCUUUCCAUAAUACCCUGUUCUCUCCAUAAUACCCUGUUCUCUCCAUAAUACCCUGUUCUCUCCAUAAUACCCUGUUCUCUCUCUGUUCUCUCCAUAAUACCCUGUUCUCUCCAUAAUACCCUGUUCUCUCUCUGUUCUCUCCAUUAUACCCUGUUCUCUCCAUAAUACCCUGUUCUCUCCAUAAUACCCUGUUCUCUCUCUGUUCUCUCCAUAAUACCCUGUUCUCUCCAUAAUACCCUGUUCUCUCCAUAAUACCCUGUUCUCUCCAUAACACCCUGUUCUCUCCAUAAUACCCUGUUCUAUUCAUAAUACCUUGUUCUCUUCAUAAUACCCUGUUCUCUACAUAAUACCCUGUUCUCUCCAUAAUACCCUGUUCUCUCUCUGUUCUCUCCAUAAUACCCUGUUCUCUCCAUAACACCCUGUUCUCUCCAUAAUACCCUGUUCUCUCCAUAACACCCUGUUCUCUCCAUAAUACCCUGUUCUCUCUCUGUUCUAUUCAUAAUACCUUGUUCUCUACAUAGUACCCUGUUCUCUCCAUAAUACCCUGUUCUCUCCAUAAUACCCUGUUCUCUCCAUAAUACCCUGUUCUCUCUCUGUUCUCUCCAUAAUACCCUGUUCUCUCCAUAACACCCUGUUCUCUCCAUACUACCCUGUUCUCUCCAUAAUACCCUGUUCUCUCCAUAAUACCCUGUUCUCUUCAUACUACCCUGUUAUCUCCAUAAUACCCUGUUCUCUUCAUACUACCCUGUUCUCUCGAUAAUACCCUGUUCUCUUCAUAAUACCCUGUUCUCUCCAUAAUACCCUGUUCUCUCCAUAACACCCUGUUCUCUCCAUAACACCCUGUUCUCUCCAUAAUACCCUGUUCUCUCCAUAAUACCCUGUACUCUUCAUAAUACCCUGUUCUCUCCAUAAUACCCUGUUCUCUCCAUAAUACCCUGUUCUCUCCAUAACACCCUGUUCUCUCCAUAAUACCCUGUUCUCUCCAUAAUACCCUGUUCUCUCCAUAGUACCCUGUUCUCUCCAUAAUACCCUGUUCUCUCCAUAAUACCCUGUUCUCUCCAUAAUACCCUGUUCUCUCCAUAAUACCCUGUUCUCUACAUAAUACCCUGUUCUCUCCAUAAUACCCUGUUCUCUCCAUAAUACCCUGUUCUCUACAUAAUACCCUGUUCUCUCCAUAAUACCCUGUUCUCUCUCUGUUCUCUCCAUACUACCCUGUUCUCUCCAUAAUACCCUGUUCUCUCCAUAAUACCCUGUUCUCUCCAUAAUACCCUGUUCUCUCCAUAAUACCCUGUUCUCUCCAUAAUACCCUGUCCUCUUCAUAAUCACUGAUCCUCGACUUCGGCGAUGUCAUCUAUAAAAUAGCCUCCAACACCCUACUCAAUAACCUGGAUGCAGUCUAUCACAGUGCCAUCCGUUUUGUCACCAAAGCCCCAUAUACUACCCACCACUGUGACCUGUACGCUCUCGUUGGCUGGCCCUCGCUUCAUACUCGUCGCCAAACCCACUGGCUCCAGGUCAUCUACAAGACCCUGCUAGGUAAAGUCCCCCCUUAUCUCAGCUCGCUGGUCACCAUAGCAGCACCCACCUGUAGCACGCGCUCCAGCAGGUAUAUCUCUCUGGUCACCCCCAAAGCCAAUUCCUCCUUUGGCCGCCUUUCCUUCCAGUUCUCUGCUGCCAAUGACUGGAACGAACUGCAAAAAUCUCUGAAACUGGAAACACUUAUCUCCCUCACUAGCUUUAAGCACCAGCUAUCAGAGCAGCUCACAGAUCACUGCACCUGUACAUCAUAGCCCAUCUAUAAUUUAGCCCAAACAACUACCUCUUCCCUUACUGUAUUUAUUUAUUUUGCUCCUUCGCACCCCAUUAUUUCUAUUUCUACUUUGCACUUUCUUCAAACUACAAAUCUACCAUUCCAGUGUUUUACUUGCUAUAUUGUAUUUACUUUGCCACCAUGGCCUUUUUUUGCCUUUACCUCCCUUAUCUCACCUCAUUAGCUCACAUUGUAUAUAGACUUAUUUUUCUACAGUAUUAUUGAAUGUAAGUUUGUUUUACUCCAUGUGUAACUCUGUGUUGUUGUAUGUUGUCGAACUGCUUUGCUUUAUCUUGGCCAGGUCGCAGUUGUAAAUGAGAUCUUGUUCUCAACUUGCCUACCUGGUUAAAUAAAGGUGAAAUAAAUAAAAUAAAUAAAUAAAAAUAAUACCCUGUUCUAUUCAUAAUACCCUGUUUUAUUCAUUAUGUGUGGCGUUGUAUGCCCUGAGGUUUUAUCACACGCAAACGGGCGUUAAGAAUACUCCAGAAAAAACUACUCUCUUCUCUUUUCAUAGCGUCAUGAUGAUACCCUACCACAAGAUCGUAUCUCUCUCUCUCUCUCUCUCUCUCUCUCUCUCUCUCUCUCUCUCACUCACUCACUCUCACUCUCACUCUCACACUCACACUCACACUCACACUCUCACUCUCACUCACUCACUCACUCACUCACUCACUCACUCACUCACUCACUCACUCACUCACUCACUCACUCACAUGCUGUACACGCACAGGCAUGCACGCACCCACAGGCACAAACAAUUUUAUGCAUAUUUUAUAUCCAACGAAGCUGCAGGCCCAUG